UACGAGGGGAGCUAGCGUUAUUCGGAAUUACUGGGCGUAAAGCGUGCGCAGGCGGCUUUGCAAGACAGAUGUGAAAUCCCCGGGCUCAACCUGGGAAUUGCAUUUGAAACUGGGAAACUAGAGUGUGUGAGAGGGGGGUAGAAUUCCAAGUGUAGCGGUGAAAUGCGUAGAGAUUUGGAGGAAUACCGGUGGCGAAGGCGGCCCCCUGGGCCUGUACUGACGCUCAGGUGCGAAAGCGUGGGGAGCAAACAGG
rnacentral:rRNA from 1 species